CCCUGUCUCAAAAUAAAAAAUAAAAAGGGUUGGAGAUGUAUCUCAGUGGUGAAAUGCCCCUGGUUUCAGUCCCCAGUACCAAAUAAAUACAUAAAUAAUUUAAAAAAUGGAAUCCACCAAGGUUGUAAGGAUUGAGUAUAUUAGUCAUCUUUAGACAGCAGUCUUCCUCCUUUCAGAAAUUAGACUUGGACCUAAGACUCAGAAGCGGCAAGAAGGCUUAAACCUUAAUGAGGAUAAAAGUAGAAAUAUAAGUCUAUACUCAGAAUAGCGUUGGUGUUUUCUACAAGAGAAUACAAACUUCAUGAAAACUCAAGCACCAUUGACACUCAGGGCCCACUUCCCAGCCUGGUGCAGUGGCACACACCUGGGGUCCCAGCUACUGGGGAGGCUGAGGCAGAGGAGGCCAGCCUGGGUAAUUAGAGAGACCCUCGCUCGAAAAGUGAAAACUAAUAAAAGGGCUGGUUGGCUCAGAGGUGGGGCGCCCGCCUGGCUGGAGCACCCACGCUCCCAGCCGUGGCGUGCCCUGAGCGAGUGGCCCCUCUGUUUCAGUGCUCCUAUUAA